rnacentral:rRNA from 1 species
GUCUACGGCCAUGCCACUCUGAACAUGCCCGAUCUCGUCUGACCUCGGAAGCUAAGCAGGGCCGGGCCUGCUUAGUACUUGGAUGGGAGACCACCUAGGAAUAUCAGGUGCUGUAGGCA